rnacentral:rRNA from 1 species
AUGGAUGCGCCACUUGUUGACACACACACACACACCUUCAACCUCUCGGCGCUCCAGUCCAUUCCGCUUCACUCCCCUCUCGCGCUUCCUCCUCCGCCUCGUCGACCCGGUCCCACUCGCGGCAUCCUCCGCCGCCGCGCAGGCGCAGCGAUGGCAGCCCGCGCCCCUUACUUCGCCCCCGAGGAAGGCGCCCGGGGCAUCCGCCCAGGGGAGUCACCUGCCGCGGCGCUCCGCCGGAUCCUGGCGACGCCAGGCGCCCACCAGGCGCCCUGCUGCUUCGACGCGCUCGGCGCCCGCCUCGUCGAGCGCGCGGGGUUCCCGAUCUGCUUCAUGGGCGGUUUCUGUGUUUCUGCUGCACGACUUGGAUUGCCAGAUGUUGGAUUAAUCUCCUAUGGAGAAAUGGUUGAUCAAGGGCGUCUAAUCACCGAAGCAGUUUCGGUUCCCGUGAUUGGUGAUGGAGACAAUGGUUACGGAAAUUCUAUGAACAUCAAGAGAACUGUAAAAGGAUAUAUCAAUGCUGGGUUGGCUGGAAUCAUGCUUGAAGAUCAGGUGGCACCAAAAGCGUGUGGACACACUGAAGGAAGGAAAGUCAUCUCGAGGGAGGAAGCGGUCAUGCACAUAAAAGCUGCUAUAGAUGCCAGGAAGGAGAGUGCCUCUGACAUUGUUAUUGUGGCGAGAACAGAUUCCCGGCAAGCUGUUUCUCUUGAUGAAGCAUUAUGGAGAGUUCAGGCUUUUGCUGAUGCUGGAGCAGAUGUUCUAUUUAUUGAUGCCCUUGCUUCAAUAGAAGAGAUGAAGGCAUUCUGUGCGGUUGCACCUGGAGUACCAAAGAUGGCAAACAUGUUAGAAGGUGGUGGUAAAACUCCCAUAUUGACCCCUGCUGAACUCAAGGAGAUUGGUUUUAGCCUUGUAGUCUAUCCGUUGUCCCUAAUUGGGGUGGCAAUGCGUGCAAUGGAGGAUGCUCUACUCGCCAUAAAAGGUGGUGGCGUACCCCCACCUGCCAGCCUGCCAUCUUUUCAGGAGAUCAAGGAUACUCUAGGGUUCAACCGCCAUUACCAGGAAGAUAAACAGUACACUGUCCCGCAAGCCGAGCCAUCAAUGCCAAGUGGUAACCCGUAG